rnacentral:rRNA from 1 species
UACGUAGGGGGCAGGCGUUAUCCGGAUUUACUGGGUGUAAAGGGAGCGUAGACGGCUAAAUAAGUCAGAUGUGAAAGCCCAGGGCUCAACCCUGGGACUGCAUUUGAAACUAUGUAGCUAGAGUGCAGGAGAGGUAAGUGGAAUUCCUAGUGUAGCGGUGAAAUGCGUAGAUAUUAGGAGGAACACCAGUGGCGAAGGCGGCUUACUGGACUGUAACUGACGUUGAGGCUCGAAAGCGUGGGGAGCAAACAGG